rnacentral:lncRNA from 1 species
GAUCAUCUGCAUGGCCAGGAGGGCGGUGGAGGAGGCGGCGACCAAGGCCAAGAUCCGAGGUGACGGCGCCGCCGCCGCCGGGGAGCCGUCGUUGAAGAGGUCGCUCCAGUGCUUCCUGGAAGGCCGUAACAACAAGGCGACGUCGUCUGCCGCAAGUCGCCGCCGCCUCGAAAGCUCCCCCGCCGCCUCCUCCUCGUCGUCUAACUGAUAGAUGGCCAGACUCCGGAGUAGUUGCAAAUCAAUGCGCUGUGCAUUUGGCAGCUUGAUUAGCUGGAUAGGAUAGAUGGCUCGCUUGUCGCUUCUCGUCUGUUCGUUUCGUGUGUUUCUGUAACAGUUGUAGUAUUGAGGAAUUGCUAAAUUACAUUACAAGUGUUCUUCUCUCGCCAUAUUUAUUUUUUUAUUGGCAUAGUAUUGGAGCUCUCCAGCA